AAUGGAAACUGAUAGAAAAUGUCCACAAGGUAAAAAAUGUGAAACAUUCAGCAAUAGUAAACACUUCACAAUAUAUAUCUACUUAGCACAUUACGUAAGGAGAUGCAUACUGCGGAGAGUUGAAUAUAGCUGGAUGUUUCACACUUCUUAAUGUCUGUCACAGUUAUGUGUAUACGCAAAUAGGAAACACAGUUUCCGGGUUAAAGUAACAG